rnacentral:ncRNA from 1 species
AAAAAUGCUAUGAAGAGACCAGUAAAUAUGAUUAAGCUUGUAGAGAGGCGAUCCCAGGCUGAAAGAUCGUUAGCGGCGUCAUAUCGAAUAUCAACUCUGAGCUAGGUCUAUAAGAUCCGGUAAAGCCGUUAACAAAUGAGGCACCAUUAUGGUGCGAAGUAAGAUGGUACCACGAAGUCAGACACUUUCGUUCUUAUA